GCGGCCGUUGCUGAAUUGGCAUAAGCGGGUGUUUUAGGGGCACCUGGGAGCAAUCCCAUGUGGGUUCGAGUCCCACCGGCCGCACCA
rnacentral:tRNA from 1 species